rnacentral:lncRNA from 1 species
UAUUCUGGGUUCUUGUCCCCAGCAGAGUCGCCAGAGCUGUCACACCUCCUUUUUCACUACACCCGUAAGGGCAUAAAGGAGUUUUUUCACUUAAAGGACAAAAUCAAAAUGGAAUUUAUUAUUAAGAUUUAGAGUCACCACUUGGGAGAUUAAUAGUGUCCCAAGUCACCGAUUGAAUCUCAAAUCGAGGAAAAUAUUGAGUCUGUAUUACAGUCCGCAAAUCAGAAAUCCGGAUAAGGAAUUCUGUUAAUCCGGGAGAAGGUGUUAGGCAUUCCCGGGUUCUGUGUUCUAUCACGGUCGCUUAACUAUUGUAUUUGAU